AACAUAAGCAAAUUUCUUAGAUUUCAUGAACAAUAGGUCACAUUCACAAUUCAAUAAUAGUAGAUGUUACAAAUUACCACCACGAGGAACAAACAAGCAUGUGACACAUGAAAAUGAAUAAAAAAUACUCCUAUUGCAUGUAUAAGAAACUAAAAUUUGCAAAAUGGACUUGUAAUUACAUAAACUAACCCAUGCUAUGCAAUUAAAACAAUUGUAUAUUGAGCACGAGUUCAAAAGCAUCCAUGUUUAAAACAAACAUCAACUUGCUAGAACCGCAACUUACGAGCGUAGUCCUCAUGUUUGAAGGAGUCAAACACAACUUCAAGCUAUGAAGAACAUGAGUAACAUCAACUCCAGUUGUAGCAUCAUGUUCCUCCUCUUGAGAGGAUACUACAUUCUUAUGUGCAAGUUCUCUAGCAUUUUGUACAACUAUGAUUGCAACCUUACCAGGACGUUGAUUAAAAUGAACACGAGAAAAUGAUGGACGCACACCCGCGACCAUGGUUUAUCCAAAAAAGUAAAAUUUAGAAAGUUGUAGGUUAACAAAAAAAAUUGGAAAUGAAUAUAUUGGGUUUUGUAAGUCAGUAUAACCCUUAGAUGUGUAUUGGUCCCUUUUAUCUUUAAAUCCAAGGACUAAGUGAGGUUCAUUCUCUUGAAAGCACAAAUAGAGUUCAUCACCAACACAAAGACCAUGGUUAGAAUAAAUUUGGUCCAAU
rnacentral:lncRNA from 1 species